AGCAGUUAAGUUGAUUUCUUCGGAUUGAUUCUUGACUGACUGAGCGGCGGACGGGUGAGUAACGCGUGGGUGACCUGCCCCAUACCGGGGGAUAACAGCUGGAAACGGCUGCUAAUACCGCAUAAGCGCACAGAGCUGCAUGGCUCGGUGUGAAAAACUCCGGUGGUAUGGGAUGGGCCCGCGUCUGAUUAGGCAGUUGGCGGGGUAACGGCCCACCAAACCGACGAUCAGUAGCCGGCCUGAGAGGGCGACCGGCCACAUUGGGACUGAGACACGGCCCAAACUCCUACGGGAGGCAGCAGUGGGGAAUAUUGCACAAUGGGGGAAACCCUGAUGCAGCGACGCCGCGUGAGCGAAGAAGUAUUUCGGUAUGUAAAGCUCUAUCAGCAGGGAAGAUAAUGACGGUACCUGACUAAGAAGCCCCGGCUAACUACGUGCCAGCAGCCGCGGUAAUACGUAGGGGGCAAGCGUUAUCCGGAUUUACUGGGUGUAAAGGGAGCGUAGACGGCAAGGCAAGUCUGAUGUGAAAACCCAGGGCUUAACCCUGGGACUGCAUUGGAAACUGUCUGGCUCGAGUGCCGGAGAGGUAAACGGAAUUCCUAGUGUAGCGGUGAAAUGCGUAGAUAUUAGGAGGAACACCAGUGGCGAAGGCGGCCUGCUGGGCUUUAACUGACGCUGAGGCACGAAAGCAUGGGGAGCAAACAGGAUUAGAUACCCUGGUAGUCCAUGCCGUA
rnacentral:rRNA from 1 species